rnacentral:tRNA from 14 species
GGGCUUGUAGCUCAGGUGGUUAGAGCGCACGCCUGAUAAGCGUGAGGUCGGAGGUUCAAGUCCUCCCAAGCCCACCA